rnacentral:rRNA from 1 species
AUUGAACGCUGGCGGCAGGCCUAACACAUGCAAGUCGAACGAGUGGCGGACGGGUGAGUAAUGUCUGGGAAACUGCCUGAUGGAGGGGGAUAACUACUGGAAACGGUAGCUAAUACCGCAUACCAUCAGAUGUGCCCAGAUGGGAUUAGCUUGUUGGUGGGGUAACGGCUCACCAAGGCGACGAUCCCUAGCUGGUCUGAGAGGAUGACCAGCAACAGUGGAACUGAGACACGGGCCAGACGCCUAGGGGAGGAAGAAGUGGGGAAUAUUGCACAAUGGGAGCAAGCAUGAUGAAGCCAUGCCGAGUGUAUGAAGAAGGCCUUAGGGUUGUAAAGUACUUUCAGCGGGGAGGCGUUACCCGCAGAAGAAGCACCGGCUAACUCCGUGCCAGCAGCCGCGGUAAUUC